rnacentral:misc_RNA from 1 species
AAGUCGUAACAAGGUUUCCGUAGGUGAACCUGCGGAAGGAUCAUUAACACGUAUCCACGUUUAAUAUAACAACUUAUCAACACCCAGAAGAACUGAACUCCCUGCUGACUAACUGAGGCGUCGUAAUCAUGUUUUUGAUGGGUCCCCUCGGGCGUGAGUCUUCGAGACUAGCGUCACGGGGCAAGGGCUGGCAUGCGUCGACUAGUAUACCUCGAGUAUACGCCAAAACCGGUUUAGCAGGCUUACUGACUCUAUUCUCGCGUGGGAGUCAAAUCCCAAUCCUUACCAUCAUUAGGCCGAGUCUAGAACCCCAUACCUAUUUCACCCUAUUUUACCUAUUUGACUAAUUUCUAUAUUCUUAGGAGAAAUCCUUUGAAUGACUAAGAUUUUAUCUUAACUAAGCACAACUCUUAGCAAUGGAUAUCUUGGUUCUC